rnacentral:misc_RNA from 1 species
GCCGGUAUGGAGCGGUCCCUUUUAUUUCAUUUUAUACUUAUAUAUUGUGAUAAUUAACAGUGACGACGCGCACGACGAGCGCCUUCAACGUAGUCGACUUAAUGAUAGCUUUGCAUGUGAUUAAAGGUGUGCCGCGUCUGUGUGCGUGGCCCCCUCCCUUGGGCGGGCCGCGGCGACGACCAAUGAGAUCGCUCGGCGCGCGACUCUACAGACUCGACUCACUCAACGCGCAGCUCACGAUCCGGACGCACGCUCUUCAAUUAACACUAUCUCUACUAUGAUAAUAGGGCGUAUUAUAACAACCAUAUAAUAAAUAAAUAAACAUAAAUUUAUAACAACAUCAAC